rnacentral:rRNA from 1 species
AUGGCGACCGCCUUCGACUCCCCGACCUCCUCCCCGGCGGCCGCGCCCUUCCACGACGACCCCUUCCUCAGCUUCGCCGACUCCCCCACCCCCGCCGCGGCCGACGCCCACGUCUCCGGCGACGCCUUCCCGGCCUCCCCCGACCCCUACGCCUUCCGCCACGACUCCGCCGCCGCGCACCCCUUCGGCAUGCCCGACUCCAACGGCAACGGCCACGCCAUGCACCACGACGCCGACGACGACGGCCUCUUCACCGACCCCGGCCCCGUCCUCCCCGACCCCGCCCAGAUGGGGGCCGACGAGGGCUUCCUCCUCCGCGAGUGGCGCCGGUACCUCCCUCUCCUUGCUCCUCUCGCCUAG